rnacentral:rRNA from 1 species
AAUUUUCGGCAAUGGGGGAAACCCUGACCGAGCAAUGCCGCGUGAGUGAAGAAGAUCUUCGGAUCGUAAAACUCUGUUAUUAGGGAAGAAUACUUUAAGGAGGAAAUGCCUUAAAGCUGACGGUACCUAAUCAGAAACCCCCGGCCAACUAUGUGCCAGCAGCCGCGGUAAUACAUAGGGGGCAAGCGUUAUCCGGAAUUACUGGGCGUAAAGGGUGCGUAGGCGGCUUCUUAAGUCUAGUGUGAAAUCCCACGGCUUAACCGUGGGCGGUCAUUAGAAACUGGGAAGCUUGAGUACAGAAGAGGUAAGUGGAAUUUCUAGUGGAGCGGUGGAAUGCGUAGAUAUUAGAAGGAACACCAGUGGCGAAGGCGGCUUACUGGGCUGGAACUGACGCUAAUGCACGAAAGCGUGGGGAGCAAAC